rnacentral:tRNA from 1 species
GCUCUCAUGGUGGAAUUGGCAGACACGCAUGCCUCAAAAGUAUGUGCCUUCGGGCGUACAGGUUCGACCCCUGUUGGGAGUA